rnacentral:rRNA from 1 species
AUAGGUGCGGCUAUGCGUCGUUGCCUUGGUGGCCGUUACUUUACCGACUAGGUCGGGCGGGUGAGAAACAUCUGGAUAACAUAGCUAUACCGUUGGGAUAACUUCGGGAAACCGGAGCUAAUACCGGACAAUAUUUUGAACCGCAUGGUUCAAAAUUGAAAGACGGUCUUGCUGUCACUUAUAGAUGGAUCUCACCCUGCACUAGCUAGUUGGUAAGGUAACGGCUUACCAAGGCAACCAUGCAAAGCCGACCUGAGAGGGUGAUCGGCCACACUGGAACUGAGACACGGUCCACACUCAUACGGGAGGCAGCAGUAGGGAAUCUUCCGCAAUGGGCGAAAGCCUGACGGAGCAACGCCGCGUGAGUGAUGAAGGUCUUCGGAUCGUAAAACUCUGUUAUUAGGGAAGAACAUAUGUGUAAGUAACUGUGCACAUCUUGACGGUACCUAAUCAGAAAGCCACGGCUAACUACGUGCCAGCAGCCGCGGUAAUACGUAGGUGGCAAGCGUUAUUCCGGAAUUAUUGGGCGUAAAGCGCGCGUAGGCGGUUUUUUAAGUACUGAUGUGAAAGCACCACGGCUCAACCGUGGAGGGUCAUUCGGAAACUGGAAAACUUGAGUGCAGAAGAGGAAAGUGGAAUUCCAUGUGUAGCGGUGAAAUGCGCAGAGAUAUGGAGGAACACCAGUGGCGAAGGCGACUUUCUGGUCUGUAACUGACGCUGAUGUGCGAAAGCGUGGGGAUCAAACAGGAUUAGAUACCCUGGUAGUCCACGCCGUAAACGAUGAGUGCUAAGUGUUAGGGGGUUUCCGCCCCUUAGUGCUGCAGCUAACGCAUUAAGCACUCCGCCUGGGGAGUACGACCGCAAGGUUGAAACUCAAAGGAAUUGACGGGGACCCGCACAAGCGGUGGAGCAUGUGGUUUAAUUCGAAGCAACGCGAAGAACCUUACCAAAUCUUGACAUCCUUUGACAACUCUAGAGAUAGAGCUUUCCCCUUCGGGGGACAAAGUGACAGGUGGUGCAUGGUUGUCGUCAGCUCGUGUCGUGAGAUGUUGGGUUAAGUCCCGCAACGAGCGCAACCCUUAAGCUUAGUUGCCAUCAUUAAGUUGGGCACUUUAAGUUGACUGCCGGUGACAAACCGGAGGAAGGUGGGGAUGACGUCAAAUCAUCAUGCCCCUUAUGAUUUGGGCUACACACGUGCUACAAUGGACAAUACAAAGGGCAGCGAAACCGCGAGGUCAAGCAAAUCCCAUAAAGUUGUUNUCAGUUCGGAUUGUAGUUUGCAACUUGACUACAUGAAGCUGGAAUCGCUAGUAAUCGUAGAUCAGCAUGCUACGGUGAAUACGUUCCCGGGUCUUGUACACACCGCCCGUCACACCNCGAGAGUUUGUAACACCCGAAACCAGGGGAGUAACCUUUUAGGAGCUAGCCGUCCAAGGUGGGACUCAAUGAC